rnacentral:rRNA from 1 species
GAUGAACGCUGGCGGCGUGCCUAAUACAUGCAAGUCGAGCGAACGGACGAGAAGCUUGCUUCUCUGAUGUUAGCGGCGGACGGGUGAGUAACACGUGGAUAACCUACCUAUAAGACUGGGAUAACUUCGGGAAACCGGAGCUAAUACCGGAUAAUAUUUUGAACCGCAUGGUUCAAAAGUGAAAGACGGUCUUGCUUUCACUUAUAGAUGUAUCCGCGCUGCAUUAGCUAGUUGGUAAGGUAACGGCUUACCAAGGCAACGAUGCAUAGCCGACCUGAGAGGGUGAUCGGCCACACUGGAACUGAGACACGGUCCAGACUCCUACGGGAGGCAGCAGUAGGGAAUCGGCCGCAAAGGGAGAAAGCCUGACGGAGCAACGCCGCGUGAGUGAUGAAGGUCUUCGGAUCGUAAAACUCUGUUAUUAGGGAAGAACAUAUGUGUAAGUAACUGUGCACAUCUUGACGGUACCUAAUCAGAAAGCCACGGCUAACUACGUG